AUUUGUCCUUGACAGGCAUGGCCUGCGGCCGGUGGCAGCGGUCGCACUAAAAAGGGCUGACCAUGGAGGCCACUUCUGCUGAGAAUUGUUGUGAAGCUUUGGACAAGUUGACAUCUAUCUUAUAUGAAGGAGAGAAGCCAGAAUACCAAGAUGCUCUGGAGCACAGACUGGCAUUACUGACCAGCUGGAUUCAGCUAGAAAGAAACAAAGUGCUCAAGGAGUCAUUGGAGCACCUAUUAGGAUCAGAUGAUUUCCAGUCACAAGAGGAAAGUAAUCCCAAUUUCAGAUUUUCCCUGACUGUGCUGGCCCUGCUGGAGUGCCUGCGUCGCGCGCUGGCGGCCGCGCGC